AAGACUCAUUGAGGCAGCUAUCAAGACAUCUCGGUGCUUACUUCUGGCAAGAUCCUGGCUAGAGUUCUCUUGGACAGACUACAGUGCAGCCUCGCCAACCUGGUUCAGAACGCCAAAGGACCUAGGAUUCCUCAGCAGAAUCUCUCACCUGGGAUGCUGGCAGCCACGUCAUCCACUCCAUCACUUGAAAUGCCUGAGAAGUAUGCAGCUUUUCAGGAAGAUAUUCUUGGAACUUGAAACCAAGUGGUUGCCUCAGUGACCUCCGAUUAUUUCCAAUUAGCAGUUUGGACUUUCUCCCACAGUUGCUUCAUUGUGCUUAGUAAACUGGUGGUUUAUGCUUGA